rnacentral:rRNA from 1 species
CAUAGCGACUAUCGUGGCAUAUCAAUAAGCGGAGGAAAAGAAACUAACAAGGAUUCCCCUUAGUAACGGCGAGUGAAGCGGGAAGAGCUCAAAUUUGAAAUCUUCAAGGUUUGACCUUGACGAAUUGUAGUUUAAAGAAGUGUUUUCUGUUGAAGUUUUGGUAAAAGUUCUUUGGAAUAGGACAUCAUAGAGGGUGAGAAUCCCGUAUUUGACCAUUAUUUUCAGCUGUGUGAUACACUUUCAAAGAGUCGGAUUGUUUGGGAAUGCAGUCCAAAAUGGGUGGUAAAUUUCAUCUAAAGCUAAAUAUUGGCGAGAGGCCGAUAGCGAACAAGUACCGUGAGGGAAAGAUGAAAAGAACUUUGAAAAGAGAGUUAAACAGUACGUGAAAUUGUCAAAAGGGAAGCGUUUGACACCAGUGUUGUUUUUCCGAAAAUCAAUUACGAAUGUUUUGUUUUUGAGAAGUUAUGACUUCAUCGGCUUGCUUCUCUCUUUACGAAACUUUCUUAAUGCACUUUUCGGUUAACAAGUCAACAUCAAUUUCUUUUGUUGUAAAAGGGUAUGAGGAAGGUGGCUUUCUUUUCGGAGAAAGUGUUUAUAGCCUUGUACCUCUGCAAUCGGAGAGAUUGAGGUCUGCAGCGUAGAUCCUUCGGGGUUAGAUACAUUUGUGCUAAGUUAUAGCUUUUCAUAGACAACUUGUUGACUAUGUUAAGUCUUGUAGCUUACUCGCUUAUGCUAUUUUACCUACGCUUAGGAUGUUGAUAGUCACAGCGUGUAC